AGCAGAGGAACCCCAUCAAACUUGGAUUUUGUAAGUAGUUGCGAAUGAACACAAAUUUGAUCACUUUGGCAAUCUGUACACAUUGCUGUGUAACAAUUUGUAUACGUUGGCACAGUGCUAUCAAAGCUGCAUGCAAGUGUUUUUUGAAAGGAUACAACAUGGGAUGUGAUAUUCAUGUGUGUGUGCCUGCUUUGUCCACAGCCUGUGCUGUAUGAAUCACAUUUCUUGCAACUGAAAUGCUAAUGGCAUGGUAAAGUUCAUGUGACAUGACACAAGCUUGAGAUUCAUGAUGUGCAAGUACCAUGAGGGAAAUGUGAAAAGGACUUUGGAAAGAGAAUUAAAUAAAGCCUGCAUUUGCUGACAAUGAAAGCAAGUGUGGAUGUUCAUGUAAUUGUUACUGCAUCAAUCAAUGUUCAUCUUGGUUACUGCAUGCUUUAUAUUACAGCUCAGAACAUGAAGUGUGUGUAACAGCUCUGCUUUGAUUUUUCCCACAUGGGAUCAGUUGAAACAUUGUGAGAACACUCUUCAGUUUCCUUAUGUACCCACCAGCUUUGUCCACUCGCGUGUUGGCACACAUGUAAUGAUGAUGUGUUUAUGCAAGAUACUUCUGUGCUCAACAACAUGUUGUGUCAAUCCUCACUUG
rnacentral:rRNA from 1 species